rnacentral:rRNA from 1 species
GGGUGAGUAAUACAUCGGAACAUGUCCUGUAGUGGGGGAUAGCCCGGCGAAAGCCGGAUUAAUACCGCAUACGAUCUACGGAUGAAAGCGGGGGACCUUCGGGCCUCGCGCUAUAGGGUUGGCCGAUGGCUGAUUAGCUAGUUGGUGGGGUAAAGGCCUACCAAGGCGACGAUCAGUAGCUGGUCUGAGAGGACGACCAGCCACACUGGGACUGAGACACGGCCCAGACUCCUACGGGAGGCAGCAGUGGGGAAUUUUGGACAAUGGGCGAAAGCCUGAUCCAGCAAUGCCGCGUGUGUGAAGAAGGCCUUCGGGUUGUAAAGCACUUUUGUCCGGAAAGAAAUCCUUGGCUCUAAUACAGUCGGGGGAUGACGGUACCGGAAGAAUAAGCACCGGCUAACUACGUGCCAGCAGCCGCGGUAAUACGUAGGGUGCAAGCGUUAAUCGGAAUUACUGGGCGUAAAGCGUGCGCAGGCGGUUUGCUAAGACCGAUGUGAAAUCCCCGGGCUCAACCUGGGAACUGCAUUGGUGACUGGCAGGCUAGAGUAUGGCAGAGGGGGGUAGAAUUCCACGUGUAGCAGUGAAAUGCGUAGAGAUGUGGAGGAAUACCGAUGGCGAA